rnacentral:rRNA from 1 species
UGGGGAAUAUUGGACAAUGGGGGCAACCCUGAUCCAGCAAUGCCGCGUGUGUGAAGAAGGCCUGCGGGUUGUAAAGCACUUUCAGUGGGGAGGAGGCUUGUUAGGUUAAGAGCUAGAUAAGUGGACGUUACCCACAAAAGCAGCACCGGCUAACUCCGUGCCAGCAGCCGCGGUAAUACGGAGGGUGCAAGCGUUAAUCGGAAUUACUGGGCGUAAAGGGUGCGUAGGUGGUUUGGUAAGUUAUGUGUGAAAUCCCCGGGCUUAACCUGGGAGGGUCAGAUAAUACUGCCGAACUAGAGUAUGAGAGAGGGUAGUGGAAUUUCCGGUGUAGCGGUGAAAUGCGUAGAGAUCGGAAGGAACACCAGUGGCGAAGGCGGCUACCUGGCUCAAUACUGACACUGAGGCACGAAAGCGUGGGGAGCAAACA